GAUGAACGCUGGCGGCGUGCCUAAUACAUGCAAGUCGAGCGAACAGACGAGGAGCUUGCUCCUCUGACGUUAGCGGCGGACGGGUGAGUAACACGUGGAUAACCUACCUAUAAGACUGGGAUAACUUCGGGAAACCGGAGCUAAUACCGGAUAAUAUAUUGAACCGCAUGGUUCAAUAGUGAAAGACGGUUUUGCUGUCACUUAUAGAUGGAUCCGCGCGGCAUUAGCUAGUUGGUAAGGUAACGGCUUACCAAGGCAACGAUGCGUAGCCGACCUGAGAGGGUGAUCGGCCACACUGGAACUGAGACACGGUCCAGACACCUACGGGAGGCAGCAGUAGGGAAUCUUCCGCAAUGGGCGAAAGCCUGACGGAGCAACGCCGCGUGAGUGAUGAAGGUCUUCGGAUCGUAAAACUCUGUUAUUAGGGAAGAACAAAUGUGUAAGUAACUAUGCACGUCUUGACGGUACCUAAUCAGAAAGCCACGGCUAACUACGUG
rnacentral:rRNA from 1 species